AGAGUUUGAUCGUGGCUCAGAACGAACGCUGGCGGCAUGCCUAACACAUGCAAGUCGAACGAGACCUUCGGGUCUAGUGGCGCACGGGUGCGUAACGCGUGGGAAUCUGCCCUUGGGUUCGGAAUAACUCGCCGAAAGGCGUGCUAAUACCGGAUGAUGUCGUAAGACCAAAGAUUUAUCGCCCAGGGAUGAGCCCGCGUAAGAUUAGGUAGUUGGUGAGGUAAAGGCUCACCAAGCCGACGAUCUUUAGCUGGUCUGAGAGGAUGAUCAGCCACACUGGGACUGAGACACGGCCCAGACUCCUACGGGAGGCAGCAGUGGGGAAUAUUGGACAAUGGGCGAAAGCCUGAUCCAGCAAUGCCGCGUGAGUGAUGAAGGCCUUAGGGUUGUAAAGCUCUUUUACCCGGGAUGAUAAUGACAGUACCGGAGAA
rnacentral:rRNA from 1 species